AAAGAACUAAAAAAAAGAGGAAGGAAAAGAAAAAAAACAGGGAGAGAUAAAUGAGAACAUCCCUAGGUGUAGAUAGAGAAAGAUAGAGAGAGACUACAAGCUAACCUAAUCUCGAGUAAAUGUAAUACAUAUAUGUGUGUAUAUAUAUAUUGUUUUCUUUGGCGGGUUAGUCGGUUCGAGCAUUGUUAAUGUCUAACGCUUUCGAUUCUCUAUUUACUUAACACUCCUUGAGAGCUCAUUGGAGUUGCAGGAUGCUAACUAGCGCCCCUAGCAGAGAAAAGAGUCACCGAGACGCUGCUGGUUCGCAAUCUGAAUGCGCAGAAGAUUAUAUAAGUUAACAAUGGACGGCGAAUGAUCUUCCGCGCAUCUACCUUGCUCAUAAGCAACGUUUGGGUGACCUGUUCCUCCUUUGAUGGAACUAGUGUCUUCAGAGGAUUCGAAUCUGAAAUUCGUUUCUGCUAUAAGAAGUUUUGUGAUGUUAAACUUCAGGUUGAAACGUUCAUCGAAAUAAAUAAACUACACUUGGAUUGUCCAAUCUAACAUAUUAUGCUUCUAAACGGAAAGAUUCAUGUGUACGAAACAGCGGAAAACGUUGUAAAUUAAAAAUACUCGAACCAGCUAACUCGUCAAGAGUGUGAUCGCUACGGAUUGCAUUCGACAGAAAAAGUCACCUGGGCUGGCCGUUAAAACGGGCCGGAUGGCACGCGCGGAACAGCGAAAAGAAAAUAAAGAAAAGAUAGUGCUCACUGGCCAGAGUUUCUUCCGGACAAUCCCCAAGAAAUUCGUGGCGGUCAAUUCGAGGACAUCCCGAGUGUAUCCGGUUCUAUUCUGGGUACUUCGCGCUGUUAUCGCUUACUUGUACUUAUCCAUCCACGGCUCAGUCUCUGGCCACAGGUCUCCGAUUACCGUCAUCUCGUCGUCAAACGACAAAUAUCGAUGAACGAGGCCUUGGUAUUCUGAGCCUUUCAAUGGCAAGAGUUUCCUCAACUACGGAACCA